rnacentral:antisense_RNA from 1 species
CUUGACCGAGCCCAGCCACAGCUGCGGCCUGUCCUCGGGCCUGUCCUGUCCGUAGGUGGCCAGCAGGGCGCGCGCCUC